rnacentral:pre_miRNA from 1 species
CUAGUACUCCCUCCGUCCGAAAAUACUUGUCAUCAAAAUGGAUAAAGGGAUGUAUCUAGAAUUAAAAUACGUCUAGAUACAUCCCAUUUUAUUCAUUUUGAUGACAAAUAUUUCUGGACGGAGGGAGUAGUAC